rnacentral:tRNA from 1 species
CCAUCCGAGGCUCAAUGUUUAGAGCGUUUGACUUCUACUCAACAAUUUGCGGGUUUGAACCUCGGGUGGU